rnacentral:rRNA from 1 species
GGGGGCUCUAUACAUGCAGUCGAGCGAAUCUGAGGGAGCUUGCUCCCAGACAGAUUAGCGGCGGACGGGUGAGUAACACGUGGGUAACCUGCCUGUAAGAUUGGGAUAACUCCGGGAAACCGGAGCUAAUACCGGAUAACAUUUCGAACCGCAUGGUUCGAAAUUGAAAGACGGCGUCUAGCUGUCACUUACAGAUGGACCCGCGGCGCAUUAGCUAGUUGGUGAGGUAACGGCUCACCAAGGCGACGAUGCGUAGCCGACCUGAGAGGGUGAUCGGCCACACUGGGACUGAGACACGGCCCAGACUCCUACGGGAGGCAGCAGUAGGGAAUCUUCCGCAAUGGACGAAAGUCUGACGGAGCAACGCCGCGUGAACGAUGAAGGCCUUCGGGUCGUAAAGUUCUGUUGUUAGGGAAGAACAAGUACCAGAGUAACUGCUGGUACCUUGACGGUACCUAACCAGAAAGCCACGGCUAACUACGUGCCAGCAGCCGCGGUAAUACGUAGGUGGCAAGCGUUGUCCGGAAUUAUUGGGCGUAAAGCGCGCGCAGGCGGUUUCUUAAGUCUGAUGUGAAAGCCCACGGCUCAACCGUGGAGGGUCAUUGGAAACUGGGAAACUUGAGUGCAGAAGAGGAGAGUGGAAUUCCACGUGUAGCGGUGAAAUGCGUAGAGAUGUGGAGGAACACCAGUGGCGAAGGCGACUCUCUGGUCUGUAACUGACGCUGAGGCGCGAAAGCGUGGGGAGCGAACAGGAUUAGAUACCCUGGUAGUCCACGCCGUAAACGAUGAGUGCUAAGUGUUAGAGGGUUUCCGCCCUUUAGUGCUGCAGCAACGCAUUAAGCACUCCGCCUGGGGAGUACGGUCGCAAGACUGAAACUCAAGGAAUUGACGGGGGCCCGCACAAGCGGUGGAGCAUGUGGUUAAUUCGAAGCACGCGAAGAACUUACAGGUCUGGACAUCCUUCGCUACUUCUAGAGAUAGGAGGUUCCCUUCGGGGGACGAACGUGACAGUGGUGCAUGUGUCGUCAG